rnacentral:rRNA from 1 species
GUAGGGAAUAUUGGACAAUGGGGGCAACCCCGAUCCAGCGACGCCGCGUGAGUGACGAAGGCCUUCGGGUCGUAAAGCUCUGUUGCAAGGGAAAAACAAAAUGAUGGUACCUUGCUAGAAAGGAUCGGCUAACUUCGUGCCAGCAGCCGCGGUAAGACGAGGGAUCCUAGCGUUGUUCGGAAUUAUUGGGCGUAAAGCGGGUGUAGGUGGCUUUGUAAGUCAGGUGUGAAAGCCUGGGGCUUAACCCCAGAAGUGCAUUUGAUACUGCGAAGCUUGAGUGCUGGAGAGGCUACUAGAAUUCUUGGUGUAGUGGUGAAAUACGUAGAUAUCAAGAGGAAUACCGGAGGCGAAGGCGGGUAGCUGGCCAGACACUGACACUCAGACCCGAAAGCGUGGGGAGCAAACAGGAUUAGAUACCCGUGUAGUCC